ACAGAAAUUAAGAAGGUUCUGAUAUUUAAGAGUUAUAAAGGUGACAAAACACUUGAUAAUGUUUUUCAGUUAGAAAUGUUAUCAAGUAGAUCUGCAGAUUAAUGACCUCACAGCAAAAUUUAUAUAAAAUAAAUUAUUACUCUCUUUAACUGACACUACAAAUUACUGCUACCUGAAAAACUGAUAUAUAACUUUAAUGACACAUAUUAGCAAAAUAUAAUGUGGUUAUAAUGAGAGACACUUAGAUAUUUCUUGACAUUAUCAUCAGUGAGGAGGAAACCUGCAGCCAGCUGAGCUCCAGCUGACUGACUGAGUGUGUUUGCAUAUGUGUCCUGCCUCUCUGCUGCAGCUGUUAAGAGGUCAGAGUUGAUCAGUGGCUGUCCAGGCCUUUCAGAGCCACUGACACACCAGCAGCACAAUGAUGAUGUCACUGACUCUACUGCUGACCAUCCUGGGGCUCCUGGUUCAGGGUUCAUCAGGAGACAUCAUCCUGACUCAGACUCCUGGAUCUCAGUCUGUUGCUCCAGGACAAACUGUCUCCAUCAGAUGUAAAACCAGUUCAGGUGUUAGUAGCUAUGGUUAUAGCAACCUCCACUGGUACCUUCAGAAACCAGCAGAAGCUCCUAAACUCCUGAUCUAUGCAGCUACAACUCGUCAGUCUGGAGUUCCAGCUCGUUUGAGUGGAAGUCGAUCUGGUCCUGAUUUCACUCUGACCAUCAGUGGAGUUCAGGCUGAAGAUUCAGGAGUUUAUUACUGUCAGCAGGGUUGGAGCAGCCCGUUCACACAGUGAUAGAACGUCGUACAAAAACCUCCCUCAGCUGGAGAGGAACUGAUCCGACUCAACAGAUUGACUGAAACUGAAACACUGAACAUUUCCAAAAAUUAUUUAUUUAUUUUAUUAAUUUUCUAUU